CCUACGGGGGGCAGCAGUGAGGAAUAUUGGUCAAUGGGCGGGAGCCUGAACCAGCCAAGUCGCGUGAGGGAAGACGGUCCUAUGGAUUGUAAACCUCUUUAGGCGGGGAGCAAUGCCGGGCACGCGUGCCCGGAGGGAGAGUACCCGCAGAAUAAGCAUCGGCUAACUCCGUGCCAGCCGCCGCGGUAAUACGGAGGAUGCUAGCGUUAUCCGGAUUUAUUGGGUUUAAAGGGUGCGUAGGCGGAUUUUUAAGUCAGCGGUAAAAUGUCCGGGCUCAACCCGGGCCGGCCGUUGAAACUGGGGAUCUUGAGUGGGCGAGAAGUAUGCGGAAUGCGUGGUGUAGCGGUGAAAUGCAUAGAUAUCACGCAGAACUCCGAUUGCGAAGGCAGCAUACCGGCGCCCGACUGACGCUGAGGCACGAAAGCGUGGGGAUCGAACAGGAUUAGAUACCCGGGUAGUC
rnacentral:rRNA from 1 species